rnacentral:rRNA from 1 species
UACAGAGGGUGCAAGCGUUGCUCGGAAUUAUUGGGCGUAAAGGGCUCGUAGGCGGUCUGUCGCGUCGGGAGUGAAAACUCAGGGCUUAACCCUGAGCCUGCUUCCGAUACGGGCAGACUAGAGGUAUGCAGGGGGAGAACGGAAUUCCUGGUGUAGCGGUGGAAUGCGCAGAUAUCAGGAGGAACACCGGUGGCGAAGGCGGUUCUCUGGGCAUUACCUGACGCUGAGGAGCGAAAGUGUGGGGAGCGAACAGG